rnacentral:rRNA from 1 species
AACGAACGCUGGCGGCAUGCCUAACACAUGCAAGUCGAACGAGACCUUCGGGUCUAGUGGCGCACGGGUGCGUAACGCGUGGGAAUCUGCCCUUGGGUUCGGAAUAACAGUUGGAAACGACUGCUAAUACCGGAUGAUGACGUAAGUCCAAAGAUUUAUCGCCCAGGGAUGAGCCCGCGUAGGAUUAGCUAGUUGGUGGGGUACAGGCCUACCAAGGCGGCGAUCCUUAGCUGGUCUGAGAGGAUGAUCAGCCACACUGGGACUGAGACACGGCCCAGACUCCUACGGGAGGCAGCAGUGGGGAAUAUUGGACAAUGGGCGAAAGCCUGAUCCAGCAAUGCCGCGUGAGUGAUGAAGGCCUUAGGGUUGUAAAGCUCUUUUACCCGGGAUGAUAAGGACAGUACCGGGAGAAUAAGCCCCGGCUAACUCCGU